rnacentral:tRNA from 1 species
GAGGAUGUAGUUCAAACAGUAAAGCGCUCGCUUUGCAUGCGAGAGGUACAGGGUUCAGCACCCCGCAUCACCA